AUUGAACGCUGGCGGCAGGCUUAACACAUGCAAGUCGAGCGGGGAAAGGUAGCUUGCUACCUGACCUAGCGGCGGACGGGUGAGUAAUGCUUAGGAAUCUGCCUAUUAGUGGGGGACAACAUUCCGAAAGGAAUGCUAAUACCGCAUACGCCCUACGGGGGGAAGCAGGGGAUCUUCGGACCUUGCGCUAAUAGAUGAGCCUAAGUCAGAUUAGCUAGUUGGUGGGGUAAAGGCCUACCAAGGCGACGAUCUGUAGCGGGUCUGAGAGGAUGAUCCGCCACACUGGGACUGAGACACGGCCCAGACUCCUACGGGAGGCAGCAGUGGGGAAUAUUGGACAAUGGGCGAAAGCCUGAUCCAGCCAUGCCGCGUGUGUGAAGAAGGCCUUUUGGUUGUAAAGCACUUUAAGCGAGGAGGAGGCUACUUAGAUUAAUACUCUAGGAUAGUGGACGUUACUCGCAGAAUAAGCACCGGCUAACUCUGUGCCAGCCGCCGCCGUAA
rnacentral:rRNA from 1 species